ACCUCGGGAGGUCCCCUUUUACGAAACGAAAGUAAAUCUGACCAGUAUUUCACAUAACGACGUUGGCUUGGUAUUGAGACCUGUCAUGGUAUUGUUUAUUAGAUUGAUUCUCUAUUAAUCCGUAGCUAAAUUAAGUACUUACUCCAUUAUUGUUUGUUGUUCUUCUGCUUGCAUACAUCUCAAGAGCUUCUUCAGCUGACAUUCCACCAUAAACAAGGUACGCCGAUACCAUUAACCCUGUUCUGCCUUUUCCUGCCUGCACAAAGUACAUUAGAAUAUGAAAAUGCAACAAUGUGGAAGAAACCGUGUUGUGGUUUUAAGAAAGUACCAUGCAAUGAACAACCGCGAUGUUCUUGGGAUCUAGUGAGAGCCAAGAAUGAACACUUUCGCAGAAAAGUUGGAUCAUUUUGAGAGAUGGAACAUGAUUGUCAUCAAACGGAAAUCGUUCCACGCGGCCAUAGAAGUUUUCUGGAUCAUAAGAUUCCUCUAUACAUAGAUUAUAGACCUAGGAAAGAAUUGCAGGACCAAAAAAUGUUUAGAGAGAUUGGUUAAUUUGUUGAUCAAUGUUUGAUUAACCAUAUGUCUUAUAGACCUUGUAAUGAUCAGGAUGUCGCAUAUCGAGCACGGAUUUGACUUGCCAAAGAGGGUUUCUAUAAACUGCUCUCAUUCGUUCAGCUGGAAAAGACAUUGCCAAUAAUUUGUCAGAGAUGUAAGACAUGUCGAGAUCAUAUCCACCGAUGAUUAACCGUCUUCGUUUCUUGGACACCAAGCUACGUAGGUAAGAACUUGUGCUAAGGUAAGUUAGAAUGUGAACCCUCGUAAAUUCCAAAGUUGAUUUUUCUUUUACAGGCCCUCUUGAGAGCUUGAGACCCAUUCUGAAGGAAAGAAACAUAUCAUUAGGUUAGGUAACGUACUUCGCAAGAAAAACAAUAUGAUCAAAAGGUUUAUACCUGAAGAAUUGAACAUGAAGUUGAGGAAGAGAUAUUCAGGUUCCCAAAUUGAGGGAAUUGGGAACCCGAGAAAGAAGAAGAUGUCGCGAGGUAAUACAAAACGAAAAACUUCAACUUUUUGGAGGAAAUGGGUUUUGUUACCUGAAUAGAGAUAAUGGUCAUUCAUAGAAGAAAACGAUGAACAACGAUGCAAUUCCAUUUUUGGAGCUCCUGAAAUUUAGCCAAGCUUCCCUUUAAAUUUAGGUUUUUCUUUCUACUCUUAUAUUCUCUUUCUACAUUUAACGGUUAGUUUUGGCGGGAAUGUAUAAGGGUAUAUAUAUAAGAAGAGUGAUCAUUUUGAUUCUUCAAUUUCUCAAGCUUCCAG
rnacentral:lncRNA from 1 species